rnacentral:rRNA from 1 species
GAACGAACGUGGGCGGCGUGGAUUAGGCAUGCAAGUCGAACGAAUCCCAAGGGGCUUGCUCUCUGGGGGAAGUGGCGAAAGGGGCAGUAAGGCGUGGGUAACCUACCCCGGGGACGGGCAUAGCCGUCCUAACGGACGGGUAAUUCCCGGCGAUUUGGCGAGGGGGCAUCUCCUUGCCAGGAAAUGAGUUUCGCCUCGGGAGGGGCUCACGUGGUAUUAGCUAGUUGGUGAGGUAACGGCUCACCAAGGCCGAGAUGCCUAGCGGGUGUGAGAGCACGACCCGCGCCACUGGCACUGAGACACUGGCCAGACACCUACGGGUGGCUGCGGUCGAGGAUCUUCGGCAAUGGGCGCAAGCCUGACCGAGCGACGCCGCGUGUGCGAUGAAGGCCUUCGGGUUGUAAAGCACUGUCGAGGGGGAGGAAAGCCCGCAAGGGUCUGACCUAUCCCUGGAGGAAGCACGGGCUAAGUUCGUGCCAGCAGCCGCGGUAAGACGAACCGUGCCAACGUUGUUCGGAAUCACUGGGCUUAAAGGGCGCGUAGGCGGGUUGCCAAGUCCGGGGUGAAAGCCCCCAGCUCAACUGGGGAAGUGCCUUGGAUACUGGUGAUCUCGAGGGAGGUAGGGGCAUGCGGAACUUCCGGUGGAGCGGUGAAAUGCGUAGAUAUCGGAAGGAACGCCGGUGGCGAAAGCGGCGUGCUGGACCUCUUCUGACGAUGAGGCGCGAAAGCCAGGGGAGCAAACGGGAUUAGAUACCCCGGUAGUCCUGGCCCUAAACGAUGGGUACUAGGUUGUGGACUAACAUGGGUUCACAGCCGAAGCAAAAGUGUUAAGUACCCCGCCUGGGGAGUAUGGUCGC